GUUAAAUAUUUGCUAAGUUGACAUGAUUGUAUACUUUUAUAUAUGUGAUUUGUUUGAAAUGCAGUCACAUUUGACAGCAUUGCAAUUAUAGCCCAUCUUCUAAUAUUACCCAGUGUAUGGCAUGUGCUUGCUAUGGUUGCUUCGUCCCAUUUUAUACGAUGGUCGUAAGUUCAGUGUGUUUAGCCACAGGAGAUUUAUCUUGCUCGGCUCACCAAUGUAAACUAGACCACAUUCACAAGGAAUUUCUGUGGUUCAAUUCAUAUUCAAUUCAUGUUCAAUUCACAAGGAAUUUCUGUGGUUCAAUUCAUGGUACACACCAGCAGGUUUCUGAGAUUCAUUCACGUUGUCCUUAUGUUGUGCAAAUAGCUCGAAACAAUUUGUUUUCGCUGGAAUGGUAUACCUUUACUG